CUCGUACAGUGAAACUGCGAAUGGCUCAUUAAAUCAGUUAUGGUUCAUUUGAUCGUACAGUUUACUUGGAUAACUGUGGUAAUUCUAGAGCUAAUACAUGCGAGAAGCGCCGACCUCGCGGGAGGCGUGCAUUUAUCAGACCAAAAACCGGCCGCGUCUUCGGGCGCGUUCGCCUUGGUGACUCUGGAUAACUUUGCGGAUCGCACGGUCUAGCACCGGCGACGGAUCAUUCAAGUGUCUGCCCUAUCAACUUUCGUCGGUACGGUAUUUGCCUACCGAGGUUCUUACGGGUGACGGGGAAUCAGGGUUCGAUUCCGGAGAGGGAGCCUGAGAAACGGCUACCACAUCCAAGGAAGGCAGCAGGCGCGCAAAUUACCCAUUCCCGACGCGGGGAGGUAGUGACGAAAAAUAACAAUGCAGGACUCGUUCGAGGCCCUGUAAUUGGAAUGAGUACACUUUAAAAGCUUUAACGAGUAUCCAUUGGAGGGCAAGUCUGGUGCCAGCAGCCGCGGUAAUUCCAGCUCCAAAAGUAUAUAUUUAAGUUGUUGCGGUUAAAAAGCUCGUAGUUGGAUUUUGGGCGCAGGCGGCCGGUCCGUCGCAAGGCGUGUACUGGACGUCCUGGCCUUCCCUCCGGUUCUCCGCCGGUGCUCUUGACUGAGUGUCGGCGGCGGCCGGAACGUUUACUUUGAAAAAAUUAGAGUGUUCAAAGUAGGCUCUCGAGCCUGGAUAAUGGUGCAUGGAAUAAUGGAAUAGGACCUCGGUUCUAUUUUGUUGGUUUUCGGAGCGCGAGGUAAUGAUUAAGAGGGACAGACGGGGGCAUUCGUACUGUGCCGUUAGAGGUGAAAUUCUUGGAUCGGCGCAAGACGAACGACUGCGAAAGCAUUUGCCAAGAAUGUUUUCUUUAAUCAAGAGCGAAAGUCAGAGGUUCGAAGACGAUCAGAUACCGUCCUAGUUCUGACUAUAAACCAUGCCAACUAGCGAUCGGGGGGCGUUACAUUGACGACCCCUCCGGCAGCUUACGGGAAA
rnacentral:ncRNA from 1 species